rnacentral:lncRNA from 1 species
CCGUAGCUCACGAUAUUGAUGAGAUUUACCCAAGUAGUCCUGGUAUGAGUCUGUUCGGAUAUAGUAAUCAUAAUUUUAUGCUUUUUAUGUGAUCAAUUAUACCUCACUUACUUGUAUGAACAACCUUAAGAACGGAUGAUACUUGAACAGACCAAAGAUCAGGUUCUUCCCCAACCCACUGAUGGUGAUAGCACAAAUGUUCAACGACCUUCCCAUCCGAUUUCAGGUGAGUAUUAAACAUAAGGAAUAAUUGACGCUCUUCGGUUAGCAGUAAACUGACCUGUUAUUUUUACAUCAAUCAAGUAAAUGUUGACGAUUAUAAGAUGUUUUCACAUUUAAAGUUUUAGAUUCAUCUUUACUUGUAAGGAAAAAGGUAUGAUGAUGCAGCCACAGAGAAACAAAUCCAAAAUGCACAAACAGAUAUAUUGUAGCUAUCAUGAUUUUUGUUGGUGGGGUAAGGCAAUUGAAGAUUGUGGUCACAAAUUGCCUCUACUUAUGAGACGACAACCAAAAUUACAAUAAACUCCACAUUGGAUAUCGAAUGUGAUGAGCAA